UACAGAGGUCCCAAGCGUUGUUCGGAUUUAUUGGGCGUAAAGAGCGUGUAGGCGGCCAGACAGGUCCGUUGUGAAAACUAGAGGCUUAACCUCUAGACGUCGAUGGAAACCGUCUGGCUAGAGUCCGGAAGAGGAGAAUGGAAUUCCUGGUGUAGCGGUGAAAUGCGCAGAUAUCAGGAAGAACACCCGUGGCUAAGGCGGUUCUCUAGUACGGUACUGACGCUGAGACGCGAAAGCGUGGGGAGCGAACAGG
rnacentral:rRNA from 1 species